rnacentral:rRNA from 1 species
CCUACGGGAGGCUGCAGUGGGGAAUAUUGUACAAUGGGCGCAAGCCUGAUGCAGCCAUGCCGCGUGUGUGAAGAAGGCCUUCGGGUUGUAAAGCACUUUCAGCGGGGAGGAAGGCGGUGAGGUUAAUAACCUCAUCGAUUGACGUUACCCGCAGAAGAAGCACCGGCUAACUCCGUGCCAGCAGCCGCGGUAAUACGGAGGGUGCAAGCGUUAAUCGGAAUUACUGGGCGUAAAGCGCACGCAGGCGGUCUGUCAAGUCGGAUGUGAAAUCCCCGGGCUCAACCUGGGAACUGCAUUCGAAACUGGCAGGCUAGAGUCUUGUAGAGGGGGGUAGAAUUCCAGGUGUAGCGGUGAAAUGCGUAGAGAUCUGGAGGAAUACCGGUGGCGAAGGCGGCCCCCUGGACAAAGACUGACGCUCAGGUGCGAAAGCGUGGGGAGCAAACAGGAUUAGAUACCCGUGUAGUC